GGACAUUGUAGCAGUUUGAGCUUAACCCAAAACACUUAAAAAAUAAAAACCAUUCUUCAAGUUGUUAACUUGUCACAAUUUAUCAGUGCCUGGUUCAUGCUUGUCAUAUAUUGUAGCAAGACAUACUUGGGCUAGAACAAUAGAGCUGCGUGUUUAUUGGGAUAAUGGAUUAGCUCCCGGCUCUCUUUGUUUUCAUUGCUUUUAUGCAAGAUUACUUUCUUUUACGUAAUAUAAAGGCUCUUAACAGUCUCUGUCAG
rnacentral:misc_RNA from 1 species